rnacentral:rRNA from 1 species
UACGGAGGGUGCAAGCGUUAUCCGGAUUCACUGGGUUUAAAGGGUGCGUAGGUGGAUUAGUAAGUCAGUGGUGAAAUCUCCGAGCUUAACUCGGAAACUGCCAUUGAUACUAUUAGUCUUGAAUUAUCUGGAGGUGAGCGGAAUAUGUCAUGUAGCGGUGAAAUGCUUAGAUAUGACAUAGAACGCUAAUUGCGAAGGCAGCUCACUACGGAUAUAUUGACACUGAGGCACGAAAGCGUGGGGAUCAAACAGG